UGGGACUCGUAGUUUCUUCCGAGAACUGCGGGUGUGCCGGGUGUGGACUGUCAGAGGACGGUCAGGCGGGCGAAAGAAAGAUCGCUCGGGGUGCUGUGACCCGGUGGACUAGGCCUUUCCAAACAAGCAGGGAAGGGAAACCUCGUUUCUAACUCUGCUCACCGCGCCGCCGGAACUUAACUUCGUUGUUUCUUUGUUUGCGGGCGCCUUUCAAAUCCAGGACUGCGUCCCUCGGCUUCCGUAUCCCUUCGGCUGGGAUGAAGCAGGGAGGCUUUCUCAGGGCUGGGAGAUGCAAUCUGGAGACCGUCUGGCAGAAGAAUGAGUACCAUACUGACUCGUGCUCCCUUCACGCUACACAGACCAUGGCCACGCGCGAUAACUAUUUCAGAGAACCUGCUUCACAGACCUCGUCCCUCUCCCCGAAGGAGGAAGGAUUUUAAAAAUAUGGGAAGUCUUGUGCUACUGUGAAAAAAAAAAACAAGCAUCAUCUGAGAUGGGAACUUUGGCCAUGGGCAUGUAGAGAAUAUGAUUUGGAUGUAGUCCUGCCUCAGCUGCUUAACCGCUGUGACCGGGUCACACAAUGUCUGUAGAACUCGGUUUUCUCAGCUGUAAAACGAAUAUAAAACCAGCUAUUUCAUAGGGCUGUAAUGAAAAGUGAAAACCAGAAGUGAAAGCACUUCGAGCCAGUACAGCCUUGUGAGUGGUACCGAAGUAAAGACCACGUAUGAGACUCUUUCCGGCAGGCAAAGCAAGACACUAUCUAGGACACCAGACUUUAAGAUGCGCUGGAGAGAGAAUUCAUGCAUCUCAGCCUGACUCCAAAGUGUCUACCACGAGGCGGGUGUGAUGGUGCACACCUGUAAUCCCAGCACUCAGGAGGCUGAGGCCGGAGGAUCAUUGCAAGUUCGAGACCAGCCUGGGCUACAAAGUGAGCUCAAGUCCAGCCUGUCCAGCCUGAACUGCACAGCAUGACCCUGUCUCAAAAAAAGACCAAAAAAAAAAAAAAAAAGGUAAUUGCUUACUUAGGGUUACUGAUGGGACAUCUGCUUUUACUACUUGCUAGAUUCUCUAAGCUUGACGGCUCUCUCUAAGCUACCAGAUCAUUGGCCGCUGUUCCUAGGGUCCACGUGGCCCCAUGGUUCUGUUUGCCACUGACCUCAGCUAAGCACUGAGCACAAUGCCUAGCUCCGUAAGAUGGCAUGAGCGCUUGGAGCCACCCUAGGUUCAAAUCUUUAUUAUUCCACUUGGACAAGUUUCUUAAUUUCUUUAGAACGCAAAAGGAUUAUUGGAAAGUUUAUACAAGAUUAAGUGCCUGGCAAAGUUUAGUGGGUAUUUAAUUAAAUACACCUUCCUUUUCUGCACUUAGAUUUUUUUAACGGCUUUACUGAGAAAUGAUUCACACACCACACAAUUACCCAACUGAAAGGUACAGUUUGAAGUUAUUUAGUAUGUUCACUGCAGUUAGAGUUCUUAAAACUGCAAUUACAGAUGAAGGAUUUGAGGUUUAGUAACAGCUAAAAGACUUAUCAUUCUGGGCAGCUCUAAACUGAUGUAAAUCAAUAGUGUGAUGCAAUUGUAUUGGCAUAAAAAUCUGAUGUGAAGUUGAGCUGCACUGACACAGAUGUGAUGACUGGAACGGCCAGGCCAUUGCUUCAUUAUUCUGAGCUGGCCAAGGACUUAGGCUUAUUUUUAGAGCCACGUGGGCAAAAGCAACCAUAUCCAGAGAAAUAAGAAACUGCAAAUGCUGCUUGCAGGAGCCAGUGAUUCUCAUCCUGGAGAAACCAAGCUUAAGCGGGGAUGAAAGGCUUUCUUCCACUGGCUCUGGGGCUCUCGUUUAGGAAACAAAUGAGAGGUGCUUCUGUGUUCCCUCCCUAGGCCAGAGCCACAGUAUCUGAACUGGAUUUGAGCAAGCAGGUCUUGAAUAGUAGAAGGAAUAACUAAAGCCGUCUAGCUGUCUAAAAUUGGAGUGGACUGCGUCUUCCUAACCUGAAAUUCUGUAUUUACCAUAGGAUUAAUGAAUCAUUUACCGAGCUGUCAGUCUACCUUGUGGGAGGCAGGUAAAGCCAUCAAAUAGGUCUAUUCUUUCUUUCUGAGCAAUCGUCCUGUUUGUAGAUUAAGAUAAUAUUUUAUUCUUUUUAAAAUUUUUUUGAUGUAGGGUCUUUACUGUGUAUCCCAGGCUGGCCUUAAACUCCUGCCUCAGCCUCCCAAAUUCUGGGAUUACAGGGAUGUGGCACAUAUGAAACAGAGUCCUCCAGUCUUUCUCUCAUUUUUUACCAUCACAGCUUUUCCUUUUCUUUUCUUUUUCUUGUACUUGGAUUCGAACUCAGAAUCUCAUGCUUGUGACACAAGUGCUGUACUGCUGAGCAGGAUCCCCAGCCCCUGUCUCUCAUUUCUUAUUUUUUCUCCCUGCCCUCACUUCUUUGUGGUGCUGGGAAUCAGAGAGCCGCAUGCAGGUAAGGCAAGCCUUUUACCACUGAGCUGCCCUGGGUGGCUACCCUCUUCCCUGCUUUUGCAUGACAGGCUAGAGAAAAGGAGCCCAGAGUGUCAAUAUGGACCAGACCACCAUGACCAGACCCGGAGAUUCCAUUCAUCCCAUUCCAAUUCCCUACAAAGCAACUUCACCUUAGAAGUUGGAAAUGGCUGUGGUAGGAAUAGCUACGUUUCAAAAAUUAGAAAAUGCUCCCUCUCUGCACACAACAUGUGUCCUUAGUCUGUUCCACUUACCAUGAACCACGGCCUGAGGGUCUGCUACGCAAAGACUGCAGAAUUGGCCCUAUGCUUACUAGCGGGCCAUAAACUGAUAAUAAUUCAGGCAUCUCCUCAGUUGUGGAUGUGUGUCUGUAUAGAAAAUAAUAUUUAGAGCCAAUGCUAUGUAACUGUCAUGUAAGAGAAACUUGGAAUUUAGUUUAGUUAACUAGCUUUGGUUGCAUGAAAUGCUUAGAGGAAAAUAUGUUGGUGACCAUUAGACUCCCUCAGCUGCCUUCUGGGCCAUGUAUGUUUCUUUAGGAAAGCCCACUAUCAUCAUGAGGAGAACUAGAAAUAGGAUUACAAUACCUGGAUGACUGAACUUGAUAUUUGGGAUCACAAUACCUGCCUCAUACAAUAAUAUUUUUCAUUACUACAUGUUUGCAGGAUAAUGAUUACAUUUAUUGUGGCGAGUUUGUACAUGUAUGUAAUAAUCUGAAUUCUUUCCUUUACUAACCCCUAAACCUCCACCACUCCCUACUCUUUCCAGCUCUUGGUCCCCUUUCCAUUUGCACAAGAUCAGUUUUCAUCAUUUUCCCCUUCAGUUUUUUUAUUUCUAUCCCCUCUCCUCUCCCUACACCUUCCCUCCAUCUUUUGUUCCCCUUCCCAUUUGAAAAAGAUCUCCCGACUUGCUGUGUCUCUCCCCAUCCUUUGAUCCCCACCUUAUAUCCAGUUUUUGGAGACAUUUUAUUACCUGCCUUCUAACGCUUCUCCGGUUUGUUUGUCUUCUGCCCUGCAGUGCCAGCUGAUUAUAGCAGGUAGCUUUGUUGCAGAGGUGCCUUCUGAGCAUGGCUGACCAUUGGCCUUUGCAUCUUCCCCAGGACUCACCUGGGAGGCAAUCUUGCAGCUUAUUUGGCUCAGUACCAUUUCUUUGGGAACAGGCCACAGUAUUGUUUAUGAGCUUCCGGCAGUCCAGACAUUGCCAUACAGGGGAAGCCAACGGACACUAACAACUAUGUCACCUUGGGUAUACUGUAAAUUCAGCCACGUGAGUAGCAUCAUAUGUAAAUACUGACAGACCCAAAGAACAACUCAUCUACCAGCCUUAACCAGAGCAAGGAGUCUAUAACCUUAGUAGACAAACCUAUAGUUUUAGCAGAGAUAGUCCAGAUAUUGAAUUACAGUUAACCAGUGUCUGCUGGAUGUGAGCUCAUCAGUGCCAUGGCCUUCAGAUCCAGCCCCCACUGCAGGCCUCUCAGUGCAAGUGCAGGCUCUGCGACCUUCCUAGCCUGAGCUUGAGAUUCUCAGGGGGCCUUGCCCUUUCCAAGUCUGUGUCCCAUGGCUGUCUCUCACCCAGUCUCUGGGUAAGAUAACACAUACAGGGAGCUGUUGGUGCUGAAGGCAGGAGGUGGUGGGAUAAGCUCUGACUAUGGUAGUUGCCAAGCACCCUCUUUCUUUCCGCUUUGAAGAGUUGAGUGAAAAUAGCAAGUUGGGAGUAUGACAGCCACACUUAUUAUCUUCGAGCCUUGAACCUCAAUCAAAGUGAUGCAUUACACACUCAUGUGCACACACAUACACACAGCUGGAGGCCAGAUCCCUGAGCCUCGUUGGCAGAAUCUGACUGGAUGCUCUAGAUCUCACUUGUUUUAACAAGUGACUUUAGCAGGGACAUCCAAGAGCUAUCCCCGGGAUGCUUGGUACUUGUCUUAGUUACUUUUUACUCGUCGCUGAGACAAAAUACCUGAUGCCCAAGUUGGGAAAAGAAAGGUUUAUUUCUUACAGUUUUUGGAGGUUUCAGUCCACACUCAGUUGGCUCCAAGACAGGCAGGCAUGGCUGGGCUGCAGUUCAUGGCAGCCGGCAACAGCAAACUCAAACCAGCAAAGAGAAAGGCACACCUUCUUCCUGCCAUUACAUCACAUCCUGGCUCCACCCCUAUGUGGGUGGAGCACUGACACCAUCUAUCCAAGCACUAUACAAUGAACCAUCACAAAUGAACAAUGCAAACUCAUGAGUUCUGGGGGCCACAAACAUAAACCAUGACAUUCCACUCCUGGCCCCCAGGACUCAUGUACAUCCAUGCAUUUGCAUUGUGCAUUUGUGGUUGGUUCAUUGUCUAGUGCUUGGAUUGGUGAUAUCAGUACUACACCCACCUAGGGGUGGAGCCAGCAUACAAUGUUAUGGCAGGAAGAAGGCAUGUCUUGUUCUCUUGCCAAUUUUGCCUUGCUAUUUGCAGCCACCCUAAACUGUGGCCCAGCCAUGCCACCCUGCCUUGGAGCCAACUGAGUAUAGACUAAAAUCUCCAAAAACUAUAAGAAAUAAACCUUUCCUUUCCCAACUUUGGGCAUCAGGUAUUUUGUCUCAGCAAUGAGUAAAAAACAACUAAUACAGAGGCGAUAUGGUAUUUACACAUGUGAGUUUAUUUUUUUUUUUCUUUUUGAUAGAACCAGGAAUUAAACUCAUGACCUUGUCCUUGCCAAGCAGGCGCUUAUGCUGUUGAGCUAAAUCCUUAGCCCCAAUUUAUUUCUCUUAUGAGUAAGGUCUCAAGUUGUGUCCAUUUAUUUAUAAAUAUCUCAAUGUGAUCAUUCUUUAUAGCUGAGUAGUACUCCAUUAUAUAAAAAUACCACAACUUUUUAUCCAUUCCUCAGUUGAUGGACACUUAGGUUGUUUCCAAGAUCUGGCUAUUACAAAUUUUGCUGCUAUAAACAUGGGUGCACUUAUAUCACUGUGGUAUGAUGCUUUCAUUUCUUCUGGGAAUAUGUCUAGAAGUGGAAUAGCUGGGUCAAAUGGGACUUUCAAUCCCAGCUUUUUGCAGAAUCUCCAGACUGAUCUCCAAAGUGGUUGCAUCAGUCUACACUCUCACCAACAGUGCAGAAGAGUUCCUUUUUCCCCACAGCCUCUCCAGCAUUUGUUGUUGAUAGUUUUCUUGAUCCUGGCCAUUCUUUCUGGAGUGAGAUGGAAUCUCAGUGUGGUUUUAAUUUGCAUUUCUCUAAUGAGUAAUUAUAAUGAACAUUUUUUCAUGUAUUUAUUUGCCAUUUGUAUUUCUUCAUCUGAAAACUGUGUAUUCAUCUAGGAUGCCCAUUUUUGGAUUGUGUAUUUGAAUUUCGGUGGUCUGAUUUUUCUAAUAGAAACAUUUUCUUUUUUAUAGAAAUAGAAACAACUUAAGUUAAGUGACUGUUAAAAUUUCUGUGCUCCUAACACAGACGGUUUACAUGGCCUACUACUUUGUAUAUAGCAGACAUUCCAUAAAUAGUUGAGUAAGUUUUUCAAUGUGGAUAAAUAGAACUCUAUUCUUCUAAAUACUUUGAGCCUUUUAACCACCAGCCUUUUAAUCAGCUUUUAUCUCCUGGAAAAAUAGAAAGCAUUUCAUUUAUUUUCCCUGUAAACACUUUCCCAAGGAAAAAGAGGCACAACUUACUACAAUGUUUCAUUAACCCUAAAAUGACCUCAAAUUAUCUUCCCAGUUUUAGAAACAAGUUAAUCUGGGCUUAGGCAGAAUUCAGUGGUCUUUGGGCUUUUCCUUACGCAGGAUUGAGACAGAGGCACGAUCAAAGGCAUGCACCUAGAAAGACCAGUAAAGUUGUGACUAGAAGAGAGUCUAGAUAAACCAGACAGAAUAGUCUUCAAAGAACACCCACGAAGUCAGGUGCAUGGAAAGUGGUGUAUGGUCACUACAUCCCUAAAAUGAUCAGUACUGGGCAUCUGGGGGGAUGAGACCAAAUCCUGAUCUUCACUAAGCCUGUGGGCCUGGUGUGAAGGUGCUCACGUGCAGUCUCAGCUACUCCUAUAUCUGAGGUAGGAGGAGCACAAGUCUGGGGCCAGCGUGGGCAGCUUAGUGAGAACUUCUUCAAAUUAAGGAGUGGGGACUCAGCUUAGUGGUGGAACCCUUGCCUAGCAUGUGUAAGAUGCUGGAUUCAAUUCCUAGUACUACACCCACACCCACAUGCGCACGUACGCACACACACACACCCUGUGGACUUUUAAGGAAGAGAUAAGAUAAACACAGGGAAAGUGAAAUACCAGUCAAAUGCAUAAAGACAAAAGCCCACACAAGCAGUGGAUAUUUAGUGACUAAUGCAAGCAAUGAGAGUUCAGAAAGGGAGCAAUCACAUUUGCACAAAUGCAUGCUGGCCUCAGAAUCCUCACCAAACCUCUGCACUGCGUGCUGCCAAGUUACAAUGCAGUGUGAGAGAACACCUUGUCUCGGUAGGACCUGUUCUCAGGUAGCCGGACAGGGGGAAUAGCAUGAGGACUGAGGAAAGGCAGGCAGGCAGGCAGGACAGGUGCUGGGCAAUCUCACCUGGCUAAUACACUCUGACUUCGCCCAUUUCUGGAGGCUUGAAGUCCAAUAUCAAGAUUCUGGCAUCAGGGGAGCGCCUUCUUGGGGUGAGAAGGAGCAGAGCGCUUUCACUGUGCAAGCAACAGGAACCUGUUUUUACCAAGCCUUCCAGGAGAACUUAGAGCAGUGGUUCUCUUGGCUACUCAUGAAAAUCACCAGAGAAGUUUUAAAAACUACUGUCACCAGCAUUCCUCCUCCAGGGAUUGGCCUGGGUUUCUUCUUUGGUGAUUCUAACAGGGGCCAAGUUUAAGCAUAGCUGAUUUAAGGGGUUCCUGGGUAGGGUGGAAAAGGAGAACACGAUUGGCUGGAAUGAGCAAGCUGUCUGGAAGCAGCAGGGAAGGAGGGGUGUUUCUCUGCUUGGAUCUAGAAAAACAGCCCUGAGUUCUUCCCUCCAAGCAGCAGGAACUGGAUUCUGGUUUCUGGACGCCUCACUGGGAAUGGAGGAAGACUCCACCACGUAGUGUUGGGGGUGCAGCUCAGCAGUGGAGCAUGUGCAUAGCGCAUGUGAAGCUCUGGGUUUGGAUCCCGCCACUACACUCAAAAAAGGAUGUGGCACCUCUUGGCCAGAAUGGUUCACACUGGGAUGUUUACAUGCAUCUUGUGAAAACCUAGCUUCAGACUUAGCUGACCAGGAAUGGUGCCUAACAGCCUUGUUUUUACUGUGAAGUUACCGCUGGUGUACAAGGUGGUAUGGAGCUACCUGGUGAAGCUGACUGUCGUCUCUGUAGUAUUAUCCUGUGCUUUUCAAGCAUAGGACAGGAGGAACCAUACCCUGUUGAACUCGAAGGGUCCCACAGGCAGGGUCAAUGGCCAUUCCUGUGGUAAGCUGAGAAGCACAUGGACUCCCCUCUGCAAAACCUUCUGGGGUUUGAGAAGAGUUCAUCCUAGUGAGGGUUCCUACAUCAGAGUCCUGGCAGAUCACAGAUGGCCCACUCAAAGGGAAGACGGAAGAGAGCUUCAUGAGAAAGGUAUUCACACAGCUGGGUCAGAGUUAACGAAGAUGGCAAAGGAUGGCGAGGCGUCAGCCCUCACUCAGGAGGAAGGAAGAAAGCGGGGAGGGAGCCAUGAUGGGAGCCCACAAAAGGGACCCCUGAAGCCACUGUCCCCACCAGAGAAAUAGUCACUCGAGAAAAUGUCCCAUCAGGGAUGCAUCUGGGAAUAAAUACCCCUACACUGCUUUGCUCUGACCCUGAUUUCUAUUGAUGCCUCCACGAAUCCAACCCAACUAGAGCCAGGCCAGCACAGGAACACAGUGCAGCCACUGCUCAGCCCUUGGGCCCAGAGCUGCAUGGAAGAUGGAGAGCGGAUCUGGAGACUGAUGCAUGCAUAGCACGAUUCCCUACAACGAGGAGAGAUGACUCGCUGGCCUGGCUGCAUGGAUCCUCAACAUGAGUUGGGAAUUAUUAAGUUGAUAGAGAAAAUACAAACCAUGAGUUGGACACAGUGGCUCAUACAGGUAAUCCCAGCACUCUAGACUGCUGAGUCAGGAGGAUCUGCUACACAGGGCAAUUUAGUGAGAUUGUCUCAAAAUAAAAAAAAGAUUGGGGAUACAGAUCAGCAUAAAGGCCCUGAGUUCAGUCCUCAGUGCUUGAGGGGACAAAGACAAAACAAAACCACAGUUUGGAUCUGAGUCUAACCUGUUAGCAACAGGAGUUUGAGCGUAUCAGGCAUCCCAUAAAUGACAGAUGGAUUAUACUCCUUAUUUUGGUGCUUUGGGGACAAUUCUCCUACUGGAGGGUUGCCAUGCAGAAGAAAGGCAACCUUUCAGAAGUUGCUCCUGAAUCAGGCAUGGUGCUACACACCUGUAAUCCCAGCAUUCGGGAGGCUGAGGCAGAAGGAUCGGUGCAAGCUCGAGGCUAUAUGCCUACACAGUGAGUUCAGUGCUAACCUGAACCUCACAGUAGUGAGAUCUGUUUUCAAAAAAAAAAAAAAAGUUGCUGUCAAUAUUAGGAAUAUGAAGAAAACAGCCCCGGGCACCUUGAAACCCACUAACAGGCAAACAGGAGAAGGAAGAGAAAUGAACACAGCCUUGCCAUGACCCAGUGCAACUGCUGAGGUUCUGGGGGUUAAGGACCAGUGAGAGGAUGAGAAAAAUAAAGACAUAAAGCUGGGGUCAGGUGGAGCCCUUAUCCUCCUGAUGGGAGGAAAGGAACUGCUCAACCACUGUAGCACCUUUAUUUAUACACUGGGAAAGAUGAUGUCGAUUUCAGCCCCUCUGCCAGCAGCCCAUUGCUUGGCAGGCCUGGGCCUCCUACCUUCUUGGUGCUGGAAUAACCUGUUUACGUAGCUUUUUUUAGUCUCUGUGUUUUUUCUGGGCUGACCUUGCUUUAGCCCCACACAUGUGGUCAAUCUCCAGCUUCUACGGCUCCCUACAGAUCCCUCUUUUUUGUUUUGUUGUUGCACAGGACAGGCGGUCAGUUGAAGCUGGAGGAGCUGUGUUGGAGAGCUCUGUAGAUCUUUUUACUUUAAGUGAAGUCCAAAGAUUUUAAGUCCCUGCAUUCUGCAAUUGAAAUCCUGUGCAUUCCAUUAAUCUGUGACAGUAGUCAGCUACCAGUGUAGCUGGCAAUUGCCUAAAGGUAGUAGUGAUUUGAGUUUCUUUUACAACGUAUUACUUUAGCAUUGUAUUAUAUACCUCUAGUAGUUGUACAUUUUCUGCAGGAUGUUCAACACCAAGUUAAGGUGAGACCUGUUUAAACACAAUCCAUUUUUGUUAUCUAUCAAGGUCAGUUAAGUCUCCUCAGGAACCUAGGAACCAGCUAUGGCAACUCUUAGUUCUUCUGUCAGUGUCAGCUGUUUGGAUGAGUCACAGCCAUUGGGUGACCAAGUUGCUUUUUGUGAAAGCUUGGGAGAUGUUUGCUCCUAGUGACUCUCCUUAGGCACACCACACACCAAUGAUCACAUUCCAUAGUGGUCAUACAGUCUUCUUGAUCAGAAGACCAGGGAGACUCACUGUGUAAAGGAUGACACAGCAGAGGUUCCCUUAUGUCCUGGGUCCUCACUGACCUUGGAGGGCUAGGGCCAAAAUAUUGGCUGUCCUCUUAGCCCAUCUGUCUCUCUAAUUGUUGGUCUCCAAUCUUCAAUUGUUGAACGUACAGAAGAAAAGACUGAUAACAGUACAAUGUAGUUAGAGGCAUUACUAUCUUAUCUAAAUAUCAAACAUCUUACAACAUAAAAUAGGACCAUUAUUUUUGAACAACCAUGGAUGCUGUUAAAAUAUCUGUACCUUUGAAUACCUGUAGGAUGUUAACAAUUACAUAUUUUAUAUAGAAAACUAGAAAUCAAAACAUACCUGAUGUUAUAACAUGAAAAUCAUGAUGACAUUUUUUUAAUACACCUAAAUUGAAUUUUUUUAAACAGAAGUUAUCCCCUUUCUGGUCAAUCAUCCCUAUCUAAUACAUAAAAGCCUUUAUCUAACUUGUUGACCUUUAGUAGGAUGUACAUCUCAUAAGCAUUUGUUAGAGGUCUGAAUCUGAAACAAAAGUUUGUCACCAUAAACAACCUGUUUUUACAUUUUCAAAGACCUCUACAUCUGAGGCAUGAAUAUACGAAUACACCAUGAGGUUAACAAUCAUUUGUCACAACCAUAUGGAAACCUUUGUAUGGGCACUUUUAAAAUAAAAAACCUUUUGUAUUAUUUAA